GACGAACGCUGGCGGCGUGCCUAACACAUGCAAGUCGAAUGAGGUCCAGGGGAGCUUGCUCCCUGACGACCUAGUGGCGAACGGGUGAGUAACACGUGAGAAACCUGCCUCGGAGUGGGGAUAAACUCGGGGAAACCCGAGCUAAUAACGCAUUCAUUCACAUGAUCGCAUGGUCGAGUGAAGAAAGAAUUUCGAUCUGAGAGGGUCGCGCGGCCGAUCAGCUAGUUGGUGGGGUACCGGCCUACCAAGGCAACGACGGGUAGCUGGUUUGGGAGAACGAUCAGCCACACUGGGACUGAGGCACGGCCCAGACUCCUACGGGAGGCAGCAGUGGGGAAUCUUGCGCAAUGGGCGAAAGCCUGACGCAGCAACGCCGCGUGCGGGAUGACGGCCUUCGUGGUUGUAAACCGCUCUCAGCAGGGACGAAAUUGACGGUACCUGCAGAAGAAGCCCCGGCUAACUACGUGCCAGCAGCCGCAGUAAUAC
rnacentral:rRNA from 1 species